rnacentral:rRNA from 1 species
UACUUAGUGGCAGACGGGUGAGUAACAUGUGGGUAUCUACCCUUUGGCCUGGAAUAACACGAGGAAACUUGUGCUAAUACCGGAUAAGUCUUUACGGAGAAAGCUUUAUGCACCAUUGGAUGAGCCCGCACUUGAUUAGUUUGUUGGUAGGGUAAUGGCCUACCAAGACUAUGAUCAAUAGCUGAUUUGAGAGGAUGAUCAGCCACAUUGGGACUGAGACACGGCCCAAACUCCUACGGGAGGCAGCAGUGGGGAAUCUUGCACAAUGGAGGAAACUCUGAUGCAGCGAUGCCGCGUGAGUGAAGAAGGCCUUUGGGUUGUAAAGCUCUUUCGUCGGGGAAGAAAAUGACUGUACCCGAAUAAGAAGGUCCGGCUAACUUCGUGCCAGCAGCCGCGGUAAUACGAAGGGACCUAGCGUAGUUCGGAAUUACUGGGCUUAAAGAGUUCGUAGGUGGUUGAAAAAGUUGGUGGUGAAAUCCCAGAGCUUAACUCUGGAACUGCCAUCAAAACUUUUCAGCUAGAGUAUGAUAGAGGAAAGCAGAAUUUCUAGUGUAGAGGUG